GACGAACGCUGGCGGCGUGCUUAACACAUGCAAGUCGAACGGAAAGGCCUGCUUUCCCUUGUGGAUUGCGGGUACUCGAGUGGCGAACGGGUGAGUAACACGUGAGUGAUCUGCCCCCAACUUGGGUAUAAGCCUGGGAAACUGGGUCUAAUUCCCGAUAGGACUGCAGGGUGGUGCCUGUGGUGGAAAACGAUUUUCUAGUGGUUGGGGAUGAGCUCGCGGCCUAUCAGCUUGUUGGUGGGGUAAUGGCCUACCAAGGCGGCGACGGGUAGCCGGCCUGAGAGGGUGGACGGCCACAUUGGGACUGAGAUACGGCCCAGACUCCUACGGGAGGCAGCAGUGGGGAAUAUUACACAAUGGGCGGAAGCCUAAUGCAGCGACGCCGCGUGGGGGAUGACGGCCUUCGGGUUGUAAACUCCUUUCGACCGCGAGGAAGCCACCUGGUUGGAAGGGUGGUGACGGUAGUGGUAGAAGAAGCACCGGCUAACUACGUG
rnacentral:rRNA from 1 species